AACGAACGCUGGCGGCAUGCCUAACACAUGCAAGUCGAACGAGACCUUCGGGUCUAGUGGCGCACGGGUGCGUAACGCGUGGGAACCUGCCUUUAGGUUCGGAAUAACUCAGAGAAAUUUGAGCUAAUACCGGAUAAUGUCUUCGGACCAAAGAUUUAUCGCCUUUAGAUGGGCCCGCGUUGGAUUAGCUAGUUGGUGGGGUAAAGGCCUACCAAGGCGACGAUCCAUAGCUGGUCUGAGAGGAUGAUCAGCCACACUGGGACUGAGACACGGCCCAGACUCCUACGGGAGGCAGCAGUGGGGAAUAUUGGACAAUGGGCGAAAGCCUGAUCCAGCAAUGCCGCGUGAGUGAUGAA
rnacentral:rRNA from 1 species